GGACAGAGGAUGCAAGCGUUAUCCGGAAUGAUUGGGCGUAAAGCGUCUGUAGGUGGCUUUUUAAGUCCGCCGUCAAAUCCCAGGGCUCAACCCUGGACAGGCGGUGGAAACUACCAAGCUGGAGUACGGUAGGGGCAGGAGGGAAUUUCCGGUGGAGCGGUGGAAUGCGCAGAUAUCAGGAGGAACACCGGUGGCGAAGGCGGGUCUCUGGGCCGUAACUGACGCUGAGGAGCGAAAGCGUGGGGAGCGAACAGG
rnacentral:rRNA from 1 species